rnacentral:rRNA from 1 species
UACGGAGGGUGCAAGCGUUAUCCGGAUUCACUGGGUUUAAAGGGUGCGUAGGAGGGCAGGUAAGUCAGUGGUGAAAUCUCCGGGCUUAACUCGGAAACUGCCGUUGAUACUAUCUGUCUUGAAUAUUGUGGAGGUGAGCGGAAUAUGUCAUGUAGCGGUGAAAUGCUUAGAUAUGACAUAGAACACCAAUUGCGAAGGCAGCUCGCUACACAUAUAUUGACUCUGAGGCACGAAAGCGUGGGGAUCAAACAGG